rnacentral:rRNA from 1 species
GACAGAGGUUGCAAACGUUGUUCGGAAUUACUGGGCAUAAAGCGCACGUAGGUGGUGAGUUAAGUCUGUCGUGAAAGCCCCGGGCUCAACCUGGGAAUGGCGAUGGAUACUGGCUCGCUAGAGUGCGGUAGAGGAGAGUGGAAUUCCCGGUGUAGCAGUGAAAUGCGUAGAGAUCGGGAGGAACAUCAGUUGCGAAGGCGGCUCUCUGGACCAGCACUGACACUGAGGCACGAAAAGCGUGGGGGAGCAAACAGG